rnacentral:rRNA from 1 species
GACGAACGCUGGCGGCGUGCCUAAUACAUGCAAGUAGAACGCUGAAGCGAGGAGCUUACUCUUCUUGGAUGAGUUGCGAACGGGUGAGUAACGCGUAGGUAACCUGCCUUGUAGCGGGGGAUAACUAUUGGAAACGAUAGCUAAUACCGCAUAACAAUGGUGGCCACUGGCCAUUAAUUGAAAAGGGGAAUUGGCCCAAUAAAAAGAGGGACUUGCGUGGUAUUAGCUAGUAGGUGAGGUAAUGGCUCACCUAGGCGACGAUACAUAGCCGACCUGAGAGGGUGAUCGGCCACACUGGGACUGAGACACGGCCCAGACUCCUACGGGAGGCAGCAGUAGGGAAUCUUCGGCAAUGGGGGCAACCCUGACCGAGCAACGCCGCGUGAGUGAAGAAGGUUUUCGGAUCGUAAAGCUCUGUUGUAAGUCAAGAACGGGUGUGAGAGUGGAAAGUUCACACUGUGACGGUAGCUUACCAGAAAGGGACGGCUAACUACAUG